GGACUACAAGGGUAUCUAAUCCCGUUCGCUCCCCUAGCUUUCGCACCUCAGCGUCAGGCACCAGCCAGGACCUUGCCUUCGCCAGUGGUGUUCCUCCGGAUCUCUACGCAUUUCACCGCUCCACCCGGAAUUCCAGGUCCCUCUCUGGCCCUCCAGUCAUGCCGUCUUUGCGACCCUUGGGCAGUUAAGCCGCCCACUGUCCCCGCAAACUGACACAACCGCCUGCGUGCCCUUUACGCCCAGUAACUCCGGACAACGCUCGCCCCCUACGUAUUACCGCGGCGGCUGGCAC
rnacentral:rRNA from 1 species